GAACGAGAAAGUCCGCAAGGAAGAGUAAAGUGGCGACCGGGUGAGUAACACGUGACUAACCUACCUCCGAGUGGGGAAUAACUCCGGGAAACCGGGGCUAAUACCGCAUAACAUCGCGAGAUCAAAGCAGCAAUGCGCUUGGAGAGGGGGUCGCGGCUGAUUAGCUAGUUGGCGGGGUAACGGCGCACCAAGGCGAAGAUCGGUAUCCGGCCUGAGAGGGCGCACGGACACACUGGAACUGAAACACGGUCCAGACUCCUACGGGAGGCAGCAGUGGGGAAUUUUGCGCAAUGGGGGAAACCCUGACGCAGCAACGCCGCGUGGAGGAUGAAGCCCUUUGGGGCGUAAACUCCUUUCGACCAAGACGAUAAUGACGGUACUGGUGGAAGAAGCACCGGCUAACUCUGUG
rnacentral:rRNA from 1 species